AGUACUGUAGUAGUGCUAGUUAUUUAAAAAAAAAAAAAACUUUUAGGGAAAUCAAACAGUUUGAAUGGUAUUAACAGAAUUUCAAUGGCGGAAGAUAAAUUCAUAUAUUAGUAUUUUGAGUCGCUGUUUUUAUUUGUAUAUUUUUCAUCUCGCACCUUGCAUAUUUUAGUAUUUAUGCUUUGACUGGCACGCAUUUUGAGCGGCGACGGCGCUUUUGACGCUAACCCGAGCGCGCCUCGUCCUUGUGACCUUGGAUUUGCCUCGGCUGGCGUUCCCAAUGUCGACGCCGGUCUGCGUCAAACUGCUGAUGUUAUUCUAAAUAAUAUUCACUUUUUUUUAAUGAUUCCAAUAUAGCAUAUACUAAUAAAUCAUUUCUAUCAUUUUUGUAAUCACAUUUUCAUCUUAUGUCCAAUACAUGCAUUUAAUCUUGCAUUUGCCUAUCACUUUUUUUACAAUUAUUAUGCAUUAUUUUCCAUAUAUAUAUUUUGUGGUUUUGGUUACGUGAUAUUUUUGACGUCAUUCUUUUUAUUCCGACAUUGCCUUUGAGCUUCUUAAAGAAACAGUGCAUUAUUUUGGCACCAAACUACAGUACACAAACAGUCAGCUUUGUUUUCCUGGAGUUUGUGGGAUGCAUUAUUGCUUGUUUUGUUUUAUGAGGAAAGGUCGAACAUGGCGACCGCGGAAUUGAUGUAAACACAGCGGCGCAUCAUCGUUAUGACCUUGGCCAAGCAUACGUCAAACUGAUGACGUUUUUUUUUUUUUUUUUCAGACUACGCAGACGUAAGAGACACUUUGGUGGGUAACGAGUCGAGACUCGACACGGGUGUUAAAAAAAAAAAAAAAAAAGCAAAAAUGCGGAUUAAGUUAAAAGUGUAUCUGGAGUUCGAAAAGUGGUUAGGACGCGUUAGCUCAGUGGAGCUAACGCGAAAGCUAAAAGUUGACGUUAGCAAGACCGCGGCCGCCAUCAUCACGCGGGGACGUUAAUAAACGCUUCGCUUGUGCAGCGUAACCAAUAAAGACAACGUUCGGAUGUGUCAUUCAGACCAAUCAAACUUCGGACUUCCAUUCCACCAAUCAAGCUUUCUAGGGGGGGCCCAACGUUUUGGUUUUUGUUUUUUUGCCUCGCGGAGCAACCGCCGCCAUUCGGGCUCCGUCGCCGACGUGGAAGGCCCCGACAAGACGACGCGAGCCAAAAUGGAGGACGGCGGGCGCCGGUUUCCCGAGCGGGCCACCCAAUAAGCGGCUCACGCAGCGCACGGGGAGGGAAAUGGCGCCCGUGUUCAUCUCGCCUCCUUCAACAACCGUCCAUUGGUCAACAACCAGCACAUCAACACGGGACGAAAACGCUGCUCCCACCCCGAUUCAGCGCGCGUCGAGGGGCCGCGAGGUCCCGUCGCACACGUCGCGCAUAGCGAUUCGAGACUUUUGGCAGGAGCGAAACAAGAUGGCGGCGGACCGAACCGGAAAUAGUUUGCGGCGCGACGAGAUGACGUAGGCAAAGCGCAUUGAUGGCGACUUGCGUUACGCACAAAAAAAAACAAGCGAAAUUAACUAUAACUGUAUUUUGCGUCAAUAUCUGUUUCUUCAAAACUUCGAGAUAAUGUUCCAAUUUUAGUAUCGUUAAUCUUUUUAACUUUUUGAGCCCUGGCAAGGUUUCAAUUUGAUAAUUUUGUGGUUUUCUUACAUUUACAGGCUAAUAUUCCUGAAAUUGUUAAAUGAAUGUUGGUGGGGAAAUGCAAUUAAUUUACAUUAAAUAUUAAUCGAGGAAUUAAAUUUCCAAUUAAUAUACGUGUAAAUUUUGUCGAAAUCGCAUGCAGCUUGCUUAAUAACUCUUUCAGUGACCCAUGGUUUCAUUUUACUUGAUGUAAAAUAAAGCAAAACAGCCGAUUAAACAGAAAAAAAAUGUAUUUUUGUGAAGCAUGUUCCGGGAAAACUAGCAGUUUUAAAAAAAAAAAAAACAGAAGUGAAAGCACAGCACGUUUCAAUAUUUAUGUAUCUAAAGAUGAACAGAAACAGGACUCACGGUGUACAAGAGGCCAGCGUGUCUGCCUCAAAAUGCAGAGGUUCAGGGUUCAAAUCCAAGUUUGUACAUCAUCCCUGUGCUGGAGUGAGGGGCUCCCAUGUCCCCCCCCCCCC